AUGGGCGCCCGCCCACCGGAGGAGCGACUGGAGUUGAUCGGCUGGGCGCUCAGAACCUGGACAACUACCCUCAAUUGGUAACAUAUUUUGGUGAGCCAGCCAGAAGGGCCACUCUCUGGUGAAACUAAAAGGUCCAUGUGGAAGCACCUGACUGCCACCACCUGGUUCAGAAAUUACAAUUUGGGGACAGGAGGAGAGAUACAGGUGGGAAGUCACAGGAACUAAAGUCAAACUAAAGGAAAAUCUGUGGCGAGAAGGUCCAUGAAGUUCUACUGCUAAGGUCCCUGAAGUUGAUCUGGUUCCUCCCGCUUCUGGACUUUUCCUUGGACUCCAUGAGAUAAUCUAAUGUUCUUUCAAUAGUUUCACUCUUGUUGCCCAGGCUGGAGUGCAAUGGUGUGAUUUCAGCUUACUGAAACCUCCACCUCCUAGGUUCAAGAGAUUCUCCUGCCUCAGCUUCCCGAGUAGCUGGAAUUACAGCUUCAGAUCCAAAUGGUAUGCUAGCAUUCUCUUCCUAGCAGUCCACUGUCAAGACUUCACUGUUAGAAGAAGAAUCACACCAGAAUUAAGGUCAAAUGGAUUAUCUUAUUCUUAAUUGCUGAAAAUCACACCUCAUUGAAAUUUGCUUCAUAACUGAACCAUGAAUUUUUCAUCAAACAUACUUUUGUGUUUCUCCUCCUGGCAUUCUUUAUGAGGAACUUCUUUUUGGAGCUCACUGACUUCCUGUUCUAAUUUGGUCCAGUUAUUUUCUAGAAUUGCUACAUGACUGUCAUCCUGGGACAUCCUUCUGUUGGAAUCUGGGAGAGCUUACAACUUUUCAUAUCCUCUCUUCUUCUUUGUGUUUUUCACCCUGAAGUGUACAAAGUCAAAUGAAUUUCCUAGAAAAACUAGUGAGUUAAUAUUUUGAGUCCUUGUGAUAUGGGAGGGGGGCAGGGAAGUGCUGGGUAGAGAAGGGUGGGGUCCCUGGUGAGGGCUCCACUCUCAGGCCUGUGCUCAUGGACCUAAAUGAGGACAGGCAUUUCUGUUUUCAUGCCCCAAAUGUUGCCUUUUGGCCCACCAUGCGCCCCAUCCUGUACCCAUAAAAACCCAAGACUUGAGAAGGCACAGACACAAGUGGCGGGACGUCAAGAGAGCUGAAGAACACAGCAACAGACACCAGCAGACAACAUCAGGCCAUCGAUGGCUGCAUGAUGUGGAAUUUGGCUGGGGGCAGUUGGAGGAGAGUCUGGCUAUUGGGCGACCUGACUCCAGGGGAAGACUACCUUCCCACUCCAUCCCCCUUGGGGCUCCUCAUGCAUCUCACGAGAGCUACCUCCACCACUCAAUAAAACCUUGCACGCAUCCUCCAA
rnacentral:lncRNA from 1 species